UGGAUGGAGACAAAGACUCCGAUACUGGAACGCUUCCAGCAAGCCUCCGAAUCCUCGCUGCGUUUCUGAUGGACAUUUUCAGGAUUUCUUAGAGCGGCAAAGGAGCAAAUGAAAACUGACACUGUAGUGGACCCCAGCUACAGGAGGGAAAGAGGAAGAAAUGGAUGGAGGACAGGAGCUUUGGGUGAGAAAAACCUGAGAGUGAAGGAAGGGUCAGUCAUGUAGCCUCUUAUAAAACAGUCACUGACUUCUAUUUUACCCCAAUUUCACCACCUUUCUGCAUCUUCUGGGCUGCCACUGUGGCUUGUUUGUGGGUUACUCUGCACCCGACCUUACCCUGCAGAGCUGCAGCUUCUCGUCCCCACAGCAGCAGCAAAGCAAACGGGAGAAAACCAAACAGCUCAGGCAACUUGAGCACAGCACAGGAACGCACUGACAAAAAGCAGCAAAGCCAAAAGUGCUUGAAUAAUAAAACAGAGGAAGAAAAACCACCAUAGCCAUCCAGAAGCUGUCAACUGCCAGACAGACAAGCUCCCUUGGAAAGAGCACUGAAGGCAGGUUCAGGGAAGAGCAAUAUCCAUAAGGCAACACAGUGCCAGUGGUUUUUUUCCUCAGUUUAUUAUGACAAGUUAACAGGGGCUGGAAGAGAACAAAACAUGGAAGAUUUUCAUAGGAGAAAUCAGGACACCCUGCCAAGGACGGCUGCCCUGAACUCGAGUUAUCCCUGAACUCACAUUUGUAGGCACUUAAAACCUUAGCAAGAUCAUUAACAAGCUAAUAAGAACCACCAGCAAAAGGAGCAUAACCUGGACUCGCUAAUGUGUUUUGUUCUGAAUGAUGAAAGGGCAAAAGCAUCCAGACACUCAGUUGCUGCAGCUAAAAAAAAAUAACAAAAGAUGCUGCCAUUCGCAUUGUCUCCUACCCUGCUCUUUCCAAUGCUGCUACAUUAAAGUGGUCUCCAUCCUAUCUUCCAGUCUGUCUGCCUUGUGUUCUCCCCGCUGUUCAAAAAGCACAGUAAUUCCUUAAGUGCUACAACAUCCUGCAGAAAAAUGGACUGUAACAUAUGCUGUACAGCUCAGCUUAACAAUUUCCUUUGUCUCUGCACGGACCCGUUGAACCCCUGAGCUCCAUGAGCAGCCCACUCUUCCCUGGAAAUCAGCAGAUUCAACAGCAUCACAGGAGCAAAGCAACCUCACUGUGUUGGAUCUGCAAGGACAUUCUCUCCAGACUCACGACUAUUUCCCACUCACCAGGGUUUGAGGGGAUACAGGGUAGUCCUGAUUUGGCAGUCCAUGCCAACCUUGAACUCCCUAGUCUUGGUUUUGCUCUGGUUGGCUGCAUUCAGGGAAAAACCUGUUUAUGCCUUCCCUCUGAAAUGAUUUCAGAAGCUUCAGAUCCACUUUUAUGCUGGUUGUAUCACAUAUUUCAGCAAAGAGGAGCAUGGUUUCAUCACACAGCAGAUCUGCUCUACUUUUUCUGCAGCAAGACGUGUAGUCACCUGAACAAAAUCUUUUCACCAGCUCUUUCUGGGGAAUGGAUGAUGAAUAUAAAUUUGGGGAACUACAAAGAGGCAAGCUGUAGGGAGCUUUUCAAUGUUUAAAAGCUGAUCCAAAUCUGUGACAUUUAGAAAGUACACAAAACCACUUUCACUUCUUUCAACUUCCCAUGCAACACGCUUGCUUGAAAACAAGUGUUUGCACAAGCUGCUUCCUAGAUCUUAAAUUUAUUUAAGAAAGCACCUCUGCCAGCACCUUUCCUCCAGCCCAAUUCACUCCCUACAGCUCAGCUCCCAGGAGGACAUGCACUGAAUCCCAUCAGUGCAGUGGGGGAGCACAGCCUGACCACGGAGCACACAGCCCGUUUCGGCAUGGCCAUGAGAAAGGCUCCUGCCCAUGGUGGAGGAGGAGCAAUCCCUUUCUCCUAAGCCCUGGCCUGUGGUCUCCCAGGCUCCCAGAAGAGCAGGCCUUCCCAUUUCCCUGCCUGUGCUGCCAGCAGUGAAGCCAUGCAGACAGAGCUGGCACGGCUCCUGGUGACCCCGGAGAUGUGGCUCCUCGCUGCAAACGGCAUCAGGCGGAGCUGGAUGAGAUCAGACAUGGAGGGGAACAGAAAGGGAACAAGAGAUUCCAGAGGGCUCCUCUGCCUCUGAGUCGUGUUACUGUUGACUCCUUUAUUGUGAUUAACUCCUUGACAUCCUCCUUCCGUGACAAGUGGGGGAGGACAGACUGAACUUGGUGAUUAAUUUAUCAGUGAAUUACCUCCUUCCCUUUCAAACCUCGCCCCCACUGAUGAUCUUUAUGGCUUAGCUCUAUCUUAUGAGAGGGUUUACAGCUAGAUACAGGUUUGACAGUUUUCAUUUCAUCACUGAGAAACUCUGUUUGGAGCAUGCCAUGUUCCUUACACAGACGUGGUGGUAACACCAUCUGCAAGCUUCAGCCCACCCCACAAGCCCUGUAUGAGGAAAAGAAAUCCUCUCCUCCUCAACCUCUUGCUCAAAUGACAGUAAUUAGGGAACCUCAUCACUCUAGACCUGGAGAGGGAGGUGACGUUCACGGUAAUUGGAGACAUUACAUGAAGCCACACUGUGCUUAUAAAAAAAAAAAGAAAGAAAAACCACACAGAGAAAAAACAAGCCCCUUUCCCCCCAACCUGGUUGGCAUUUCCUAAAUAAACUGCCUUUUUUCAGGCACAUUGUGUGAUUUUUAAUACUGGAGACUACUGGAAGGACUCCUGCAGCCCGAUUAAGUGUAAUGCAGUGUAAGAAAAAUAGGAAGGAGGGGGAAAACCCUCGGAAAGGCAAUCGAAGUGAAAAAUCUAUCAACAGCACAGGGGCUCCAGUGGAGCCAGGAGUCCUGUUCUGAACACACUCCAACUUCCCAGUCGUUUGCUCUGCUGGACACUCCGGGGACCCCAGCACAGCAAACUACAAUUUCUAGUAAAUAUAUCCCAGGGACACAAUUAGUUUUUCAGCUGGGGGCAUGAUAAAUUGGUCAUGCAUAAUUCAAGGCCAGCACAGGCUGGAGUAUAAACUGCUCCAUGGCAGCUUCCAGCUCCCUGACAGGGGAAUGCAAAUGGGCUGCUGGCGCAGGGGCUGCUGGACCCACUAACGCUGCACCUCCCUGCCUGCUCCCCUGUCCACCUCCAUGCCUGGCAACCACCACCCCAGCCUUUCCUUCUGUGCCUCUCUUGGUGAUUUUAAUUUCCCAGCGAUGUAUCCAUCACUGUCCGAUGGCCUUCUGGGACCCAACACACAUUGUUAUCACAACAAAUACCACUCUCCGCUCCAUCUACUCUGUUUUUUCCAUAUGCAGACACAAGAGAAUGGUUUUGGCACAGAAAGAGGCUGAGGGACUGUGUGGUCUAUUGUCAGCAUUAGAAGGCCUUGGGCAAGUAAUUUCCAAUCUGCCUCAGUGUUCCCAUCGACACAAUGGAGAUAAUUCCAACCACACAACUGCAGAGUUAGCAAGACACACUCAGUUUGGGGUUUGAUAAAGGUCUGAGAGGUGGCUGGGGAUAUGCAGCCCACCCAAACAACAGUCUCAAGUUCUCCAACCUUAUUUUAGGUAUUUAUUUAAAUACAUCUACCUGCUCAAAGCAGGAGAACGAGAGAACUUGCUGCUUUGCAGUUGGCCAAGUGAUGGAUGAAGUGAAAACUCCAAGGAAACUUUGGGAAUCCUUCAAAAUGACGUCCCCAAGUUUCUCAGUGCAUGCCCUACAGCCUCCCAGCCAGGGAGAGAUACACAGUGUACACACUGGAAAACUCUGCCAGAAAAAUCACUGCAAGUACAUUCUCUGUACAGCCACAUCACUGAAGGCUGACAGCUCCUUUCACCAGCCACAGUUUCUCUAUCUUCCAAAAUCCUGAAACCACUUCUCAGGAUGCAUUGCCAUUUUCUGCUCCUCGGGAACAGAAUAAGCAUUUUAAGUCCAGUCUGUGUGAAAUGUUCUUAAGAAGCAGGCUGAGGCAGAGCAGGGCAUUAAUAAAGGAAAGUUUUGGCAGUGUA